CAAUAGCGUAUAUUAAAGUUGUUGCGGUUAAAAAGCUCGUAGUUGGAUUUCUGCUGAGAACGACCGGUCCGCCCUCUGGGUGUGUAUCUGGCUCUUUCUUGGCAUCUUCUUGGUGAACGUUGCUGCACUUGACUGUGUGGAGCGCUACCCAGGACUUUUACUUUGAGGAAAUUAGAGUGUUUCAAGCAGGCAUACGCCUUGAAUACAUUAGCAUGGAAUAAUAAGAUAGGACCUCGGUUCUAUUUUGUUGGUUUCUAGAGCUGAGGUAAUGAUUAAUAGGGAUAGUUGGGGGCAUUCGUAUUUAACUGUCAGAGGUGAAAUUCUUGGAUUUCUGGAAGACGAACUACUGCGAAAGCAUUUACCAAGGAUGUUUUCAUUAA
rnacentral:rRNA from 1 species